UACGUAGGUGGCAAGCGUUGUCCGGAUUUACUGGGCGUAAAGAGCGCGCAGGCGGUCGUUCAAGUCGCGUGUGAAAGCCCCCGGCUCAACUGGGGAGGGUCACGCGAUACUGAUCGACUCGAAGGCAGGAGAGGGUAGUGGAAUUCCCGGUGUAGUGGUGAAAUGCGUAGAGAUCGGGAGGAACACCAGAGGCGAAGGCGGCUAGCUGGACAAGCACUGACACUCAACUACGAAAGCGUGGGGAGCAAACAGG
rnacentral:rRNA from 1 species